rnacentral:rRNA from 1 species
UACGAGUGGUGCAAGCAUUAUUCGGAAUCAUUGGGCGUAAAGGGUGCGUAGGUGGUAAGCUAAGUCUACUGUUAAAUAUUUCGGCCUAACCGAAAAGCUGCAGUGGAUACUGGUAUACUAGAGGAUGGGAGAGAGAAGUGGAAUUCUCGGAGUAGCGGUAAAAUGCGUAGAUCUCGAGAGGAACACCGAUGGCGAAAGCAGCUUCUUGGACCAAUCCUGACACUGAUGCACGAAAGCGUGGGGAGCAAACAGG